rnacentral:rRNA from 1 species
AUUGAACGCUGGCGGCAGGCCUAACACAUGCAAGUCGAACGGUAACAGGAAACAGCUUGCUGUUUCGCUGACGAGUGGCGGACGGGUGAGUAAUGUCUGGGAAACUGCCUGAUGGAGGGGGAUAACUACUGGAAACGGUAGCUAAUACCGCAUAACGUCGCAAGACCAAAGAGGGGGACCUUCGGGCCUCUUGCCAUCGGAUGUGCCCAGAUGGGAUUAGCUUGUUGGUGGGGUAACGGCUCACCAAGGCGACGACCCCUAGCUGGUCUGAGAGGAUGACCAGCCACACUGGAACUGAGACACGGUCCAGACCCCUACGGGAGGCAGCAGUGGGGAAUAUUGCACAAUGGGCGCAAGCCUGAUGCAGCCAUGCCGCGUGUAUGAAGAAGGCCUUCGGGUUGUAAAGUACUUUCAGCGGGGAGGAAGGGAGUAAAGUUAAUACCUUUACUCAUUGACGUUACCCGCAGAAGAAGCACCGGCUAACUCCGUGCCAGCAGCAGCCGCGG